UACGAGGGGGGCAAGCGUUGUUCGGAAUUAUUGGGCGUAAAGGGCGCGUAGGCGGUUUGACAAGUCUUAUGUGAAAUCUCUGGGCUCAACCCAGAGUCUGCAUGGGAAACUGUCGGGCUUGAGUAUGGGAGAGGUGAGUGGAAUUUCCGGUGUAGCGGUGAAAUGCGUAGAUAUCGGAAGGAACACCUGUGGCGAAAGCGGCUCACUGGACCAUAACUGACGCUGAGGCGCGAAAGCUAGGGGAGCAAACAGG
rnacentral:rRNA from 1 species